rnacentral:rRNA from 1 species
UUAUAAUGACCGUAUGUAGAUAUAGUCUUGACCAAUUACGUGCCAGCAGUCGCGGUAAUACGUGGAAGGCUAGCGUUAUUCAUCAUAAUUAGGUUUAAAGGGUACUCAAACGGUCAAGAUAUCCUAUAAAAGGUAAUACUUGUCUAGAGUUUUAUGUAAGAAGACAGUACUUAGAGUGGAGAGAUGUAAUUCGUUGAUACCAAAGGGACUGAUAAUUGCGAAGGCAGUCUUUUAUGUAAUAACUGACGUUGAAGGACGAAGGCAUAGAUAACGAACAGGACUUGUUACCCCAGUAGUCUUUGCAGACAACACUGAAUGCUGUAGAUUAGAAAAUUUUAGUCUAUAUGUGAAAAUUAAAGCAUUUCACCUCAAGAGUAAUGUGGCAA